UACUAGUCACGGAGACAUUUUUCUUCCUCUCUUCCUAGUGCAGCACAAGCUACUCUGACACCCCAGGGACGGGCUUAGGCACAGCUCUGCGGUGGGCUUGGUGCCGCAGCGCUGAACCUGUGACCCCGAGCACUGCUGUGGGCAUGCAAGUGAAUUCAGAGGGACCAAAGGGGAGACACAAGCCUGGCACAACCUGGGGAGUCUCUUCAGCAUUGCUCAGAGCACCACAUCAAGUCCAGCAUUCACAUGCACCCCAGCAGAAUUUGUUGUCAUCUGAAGGAGCCUGCUUUCAUUACCUCACUCUCAUCCAGGGAUCCCAAGGAAGAAAUGGAGAGGCUGAAGGAUGGAAACAGUACUUGCAGACUUUGCAAGGAAUAAAGCAACCUGUUCCACCUUCCACUCAUUCCAGUGUCCCUAAUACCAUGAAAAAAAUUAUAUUGACUCAAGUCAGAAAGAGAUCAGCCUCUUUGUGCUGCCAGAAUGGAUGAGGCUGUUCAUAGUGGUAAAUACCAGGUCUGCUGCAUUCAGACAAGGCAGUUUUUCUUCUGUGCCAAUAGACAGGAGUGUCUCUUCACUGUGUAUACCUGUCAGUAUCACUGCAAACAGCAGCAUCACCAGAAGGCAGGUUGGUGCUACAGAAUUUUCUUGUUAUUUGUCUUUAACAAAACACUAGCCUUUAAAGUAAAGAAAUUAAAAUCUACCUGAUUGUGAUCAGUGAUAUUUGAUGAGUGUGUGACAGUUGGUGGGGUUUGAUUUUGGGCAGUGAAUAGAGCAAAGCAAGCUGCCAGCUUGAGUUCACAUACAUCUGUGAAUCGUCUGUGAGGGCUCAAAACUAAUGAUCAAUAUGUUGUCUGUUGUGGUAAACAGACAUUUUUAAAAGAUUCUUGCUUCAUAGUCCACAGAAGCAUUUGAUUUCCAUGCCUAUUAAAUAAUGAUAGAUUUUAUGACAGCAAAUGUAAGAUCUGUCAUGUGACUGGAUCAACUUUUGCUGAUAAUCCAAUAUCUGACCCUAUAGCAAACUGGUGUUUCACAUCCCCAGUGCAGCUCCCACACUGCUUUUACACCCUGAUGGGCUGCACUGUCCCUUCUCCCAGGGCCUUACCAGUCUGCUGCCAGCUAGGAAAGGGAGAACAAGAGAGCACAAAAAUACACCAACAUUCCCCGUGUUUCUAAGUAACUAAGGGAUGAGGGUGUGAGGGAAGCCACACAGAUCUGCAGGAUCAUUGCCAGCAAGAUAUCAUCUCCUGUCCUGUGUAUUUUAAUGUAGGGAUUGAUGUCACGUUCCUGUGCAUGCUCAAGUAAUAACACCCAUGGUUGUUCUCAUAUUUUCUUGACACAUCUAGCACAGCACGAGCCUUUGUCUUAUCAUGCCAUGCUCUGUGCUUGGUCAGGGGCUGUCAGGAGGGAUGUGAGCUCACAGUGUGCAGUGGUACACGGUGUCUGCCCCAGGGAUGUACCAAAGCACCAGGGCACUCUUCUUUAGGAGAA
rnacentral:lncRNA from 1 species